AGAGUUUGAUCCUGGCUCAGAUUGAACGCUGGCGGCAGGCUUAACACAUGCAAGUCGAGCGGUAACAGGGAUAGCUUGCUAUCUGCUGACGAGCGGCGGACGGGUGAGUAAUGCUUGGGAAUAUGCCUUUGAGUGGGGGACAACAGUUGGAAACGACUGCUAAUACCGCAUAACGUCUACGGACCAAAGGGGGGGAUCUUCGGACCUCUCGCUCAUUGAUUAGCCCAAGUGAGAUUAGCUAGUUGGUAAGGUAAUGGCUUACCAAGGCGACGAUCUCUAGCUGGUUUGAGAGGAUGAUCAGCCACACUGGGACUGAGACACGGCCCAGACUCCUACGGGAGGCAGCAGUGGGGAAUAUUGCACAAUGGGCGAAAGCCUGAUGCAGCCAUGCCGCGUGUGUGAAGAAGGCCUUCGGGUUGUAAAGCACUUUUAGUUGUGAGGAAAGGGGUGUAGUUAAUAGCUGCAUCCUGUGACGUUAACAACAGAAGAAGCACCGCUAACUU
rnacentral:rRNA from 1 species